rnacentral:rRNA from 1 species
CGCGUAGGCGGGCCAUCAAGUCCGGGGUGAAAUCCUCCGGCUUAACCGGAGAAUUGCCUUGGAUACUGGUGGUCUUGAGGGAAGUAGGGGUCUGCGGAACUUCCGGUGGAGCGGUGAAAUGUGUUGAUAUCGGAAGGAACGCCGGUGGCGAAAGCGGCGGACUGGGCUUCUUCUGACGCUGAGGCGCGAAAGCUAGGGGAGCAAAACG